AUUGAACGCUGGCGGCAGGCCUAACACAUGCAAGUCGAGCGGAUGAAGGGAGCUUGCUCCUGGAUUCAGCGGCGGACGGGUGAGUAAUGCCUAGGAAUCUGCCGGGUAGUGGUGUAUAACGUCCGGAAACGGGCGCUAAUACCGCAUACGACCUGAGGGUGAAAGUGGGGGAUCUUCGGACAUCACGCUAUCAGAUGAGCCUAGGUCGGAUUAGCUAGUUGGUGGGGUAAAGGCCUACCAAGGCGACGAUCCGUAACUGGUCUGAGUGGAUGAUCAGUCACACUGGAACGGGGACACGGUCCAGACUCCUGCGGGAGGGAGCAGUGGGGAAUAGUGGACAAUGGGCGAAAGCCUGAUCCAGCCAUGCCGCGUGUGUGAAGAAGGUCUUCGGAGUGUAAAGCACUUUAAGUUGGGAUGAAGGGCAGUAAGUUGAUACCUUGCGGUUGUGACGGUACCGACAGAAUAAGCACCGGCUAACUUCGUG
rnacentral:rRNA from 1 species